GCCAGUUGUAGUGGCAUAAGCCUGUAAUCCCAGCUACUUGGGAGGCUGAGGCAGGAGGACCUCAAGUUUGAGGCCACCCUGGACAACUUAUUGAGAUCUUGCCUCAA
rnacentral:sRNA from 1 species